rnacentral:tRNA from 1 species
CGUCGCGUAGCUCAGCGGAAGCAGCAUCCCGUUUACACCGGGAAGGUCGAAGGUUCGAAUCCAUUCCGCGACGACCA